AUUGAACGCUGGUGGCAUGCCUUACACAUGCAAGUCGAACGGCAGCACGGGGCAACCUGGUGGCGAGUGGCGAACGGGUGAGUAAUGCAUCGGAACGUGCCAUUGAGUGGGGGAUAACGUAGCGAAAGUUGCGCUAAUACCGCAUAUUCUGUGAGCAGGAAAGCAGGGGACCGCAAGGCCUUGCGCUCUUUGAGCGGCCGAUGUCAGAUUAGCUAGUUGGUGAGGUAACGGCUUACCAAGGCGACGAUCUGUAGCGGGUCUGAGAGGAUGAUCCGCCACACUGGAACUGAGACACGGUCCAGACUCCUACGGGAGGCAGCAGUGGGGAAUUUUGGACAAUGGGCGCAAGCCUGAUCCAGCCAUGCCGCGUGAGUGAAGAAGGCCUGGUGU
rnacentral:rRNA from 1 species